GGACGAACGCUGGCGGCGUGCUUAACACAUGCAAGUCGAACGCUGAAGCACCAGCUUGCUGGUGUGGAUGAGUGGCGAACGGGUGAGUAAUACGUGAGUAACCUGCCCUUGACUCUGGGAUAAGCCCGGGAAACUGGGUCUAAUACUGGAUGCUACAUGUCACCGCAUGGUGGUGUGUGGAAAGGGUUUACUGGUCUUGGAUGGGCUCACGGCCUAUCAGCUUGUUGGUGAGGUAAUGGCUCACCAAGGCGACGACGGGUAGCCGGCCUGAGAGGGUGACCGGCCACACUGGGACUGAGACACGGCCCAGACUCCUACGGGAGGCAGCAGUGGGGAAUAUUGCACAAUGGGCGAAAGCCUGAUGCAGCGACGCCGCGUGAGGGAUGACGGCCUUCGGGUUGUAAACCUCUUUCAGCAGGGAAGAAGCCACAAGUGACGGUACCUGCAGAAGAAGCGCCGGCUAACUACGUGCCAGCAGCCGCGGUAAUACGUAGGGCGCAAGCGUUGUCCGGAAUUAUUGGGCGUAAAGAGCUCGUAGGCGGUUUGUCGCGUCUGCUGUGAAAGCCCGGGGCUUAACCCCGGGUGUGCAGUGGGUACGGGCAGACUAGAGUGCAGUAGGGGAGACUGGAAUUCCUGGUGUAGCGGUGGAAUGCGCAGAUAUCAGGAGGAACACCGAUGGCGAAGGCAGGUCUCUGGGCUGUUACUGACGCUGAGGAGCGAAAGCAUGGGGAGCGAACAGGAUUAGAUACCCUGGUAGUCCAUGCCGU
rnacentral:rRNA from 1 species